rnacentral:piRNA from 1 species
UAUCAGAGCCACACAUGAUCAUCCUUGA